CCAAUAGCGUAUAUUAAAGUUGUUGCAGUUAAAAAGCUCGUAGUUGAAUUUCGGGAUCAAUAUAUCGGUCGUGCCAUCGGUACGUACUGGUAUCAUUGGUUUCUCCUUUCUGACGAACCAUGAUGUCAUUAAUUUGGUGUUAUGGGAAGUUAGGACUGUUACUUUGAAAAAAUUAGAGUGUUUAAAGCAGGCUUUAGCUUGAAUACAUUAGCAGGGAAUAAUGAAAUAGGACGUUCGAACCUAUUUUGUUGGUUUCUAGGAUCAACGUAAUGAUUAAUAGGGAAAGUUGGGGGCAUUAGUAUUCAAUUGUCAGAGGUGAAAUUCUUGGAUUUAUUGAAGACUAACUACUGCGAAAGCAUUUGCCAAGGAUGUUUUCAUUAAUCAAGAACGAAAGUUAGGGGAUCGAAGACGAUCAGAUACCGUCGUAGUCUUAACCAUAAACUAUGCCGACUAGGGAUCGGAUGAUGUUAAUUUUUUAAUGACUCAUUCGGCGCCUUAC
rnacentral:misc_RNA from 1 species